rnacentral:rRNA from 1 species
GAUGAACGCUGGCGGCGUGCCUAAUACAUGCAAGUCGAGCGAACAGACGAGGAGCUUGCUCCUCUGACGUUAGCGGCGGACGGGUGAGUAACACGUGGAUAACCUACCUAUAAGACUGGGAUAACUUCGGGAAACCGGAGCUAAUACCGGAUAAUAUAUUGAACCGCAUGGUUCAAUAGUGAAAGACGGUUUUGCUGUCACUUAUAGAUGGAUCCGCGCCGCAUUAGCUAGUUGGUAAGGUAACGGCUUACCAAGGCAACGAUGCGUAGCCGACCUGAGAGGGUGAUAGGCCACCUUGGAACUGGGACACGGUCCAGACUACUACGGGAGGCAGCAGUAGGGAAUCUUCCGCAAUGGGCGAAAGCCUGACGGAGCAACGCCGCGUGAGUGAUGAAGGUCUUCGGAUCGUAAAACUCUGUUAUUAGGGAAGAACAAAUGUGUAAGUAACUAUGCACGGCUUGACGGUACCUAAUCAGAAAGCCACGGCUAACUACGUG